rnacentral:rRNA from 1 species
CGCGUAGACGGUUGUCUAAGUCUGGAGUGAAAGUCCUGCUUUCAAGAUGGGAAUUGCUUUGGAGACUGAAUGACUUGAGUGCGGAAGAGGUAAGUGGAAUUCCCGGUGUAACGGUGGAAUGUGUAGAUAUCGGGAAGAACACCAAUGGCGAAGGCAGGUCUCUGGGCCGUCACUGACGCUGAGGAGCGAAAGCGUGGGGAGCGAACA